UCGAGCGGAACGAUGGUAGCUUGCUACCAGGCGUCGAGCGGCGGACGGGUGAGUAAUGCUUAGGAAUCUGCCCAGUAGUGGGGGAUAGCCCGGGGAAACCCGGAUUAAUACCGCAUACGCCCUUUUGGGGAAAGCAGGGGAUCUUCGGACCUUGCGCUAUUGGAUGAGCCUAAGUCGGAUUAGCUAGUUGGUGGGGUAAAGGCUCACCAAGGCGACGAUCCGUAGCUGGUCUGAGAGGAUGAUCAGCCACAUCGGGACUGAGACACGGCCCGAACUCCUACGGGAGGCAGCAGUGGGGAAUAUUGGACAAUGGGGGCAACCCUGAUCCAGCCAUGCCGCGUGUGUGAAGAAGGCUUUCGGGUUGUAAAGCACUUUCAGUGAGGAGGAAGGCCUUAAGAUUAAUACUCUUNAGGAUUGACGUCACUCACAGAAGAAGCACCGGCUAACUCCGUGCCAGCAGCCGCGGUAAUACGGAGGGUGCAAGCGUUAAUCGGAAUUACUGGGCGUAAAGCGCGCGUAGGUGGUUGAGUAAGCGAGAUGUGAAAGCCCCGGGCUUAACCUGGGAACGGCAUUUCGAACUGCUCGACUAGAGUGUGGUAGAGGGUAGUGGA
rnacentral:rRNA from 1 species